GAGUUUGAUCAUGGCUCAGGACGAACGCUGGCGGCGUGCCUAAUACAUGCAAGUCGAACGAGAACCCGGAGCUUGCUCCGGGGGACAGUGGCGAACGGGUGAGUAACACGUGAGAAACCUGCCCUAGAGACUGGGACAACCAUUGGAAACGAUGGCUAAUACCGGAUGCCUUCACAUGGCCGCAUGGCCGAGUGAAGAAAUGCUCAGGCGCUCUAGGAGGGUCUCGCGGCCUAUCAGCUAGUUGGUGGGGUAACGGCCUACCAAGGCAUCGACGGGUAGCUGGUCUGAGAGGACGAUCAGCCACACUGGGACUGAGACACGGCCCAGACUCCUACGGGAGGCAGCAGUAGGGAAUCUUGCGCAAUGGGGGAAACCCUGACGCAGCAACGCCGCGUGUGGGAUGACGGCUUUCGGGUUGUAAACCACUUUCAGAGAUGACGAAAAUGACGGUAAUCUCAGAAGAAGGUCCGGCCAACUACGUGCCAGCAGCCGCGGUAACACGUAGGGACCAAGCGUUGUCCGGAUUUAUUGGGCGUAAAGAGCUCGUAGGCGGUUUUGUAAGUCGGAUGUGAAAACUCAGGGCUCAACCCCGAGACGCCAUCUGAUACUGCAAUGACUAGAGUCCGGUAGGGGAGCAUGGAAUUCCUGGUGUAGCGGUGGAAUGCGCAGAUAUCAGGAGGAACACCAAUGGCGAAGGCAGUGCUCUGGGCCGGAACUGACGCUGAGGAGCGAAAGCAUGGGGAGCAAACAGGAUUAGAUACCCUGGUAGUCCAUGCCGUAAACGUUGGGCACUAGGUGUGGGGUCUUCUAACGGAUUCCGUGCCGUAGCUAACGCACUAAGUGCCCCGCCUGGGGAGU
rnacentral:rRNA from 1 species